GGCUUGGUAGCGCUCGGAGCGCAUCUGCCCUCCAUUUGGAUUCCAAGAGAAGGAUAAUUCUGCAGAAGGAGCUCGUUCGACUCGAGCCCAGGCCA